rnacentral:rRNA from 1 species
CAGUAGCCGCGGGAAUACGAAGGGUGCAAGCGUUACUCGGAAUUACUGGGCGUAAAGCGUGCGUAGGUGGUGGUUUAAGUCCGUUGUGAAAGCCCUGGGCUCAACCUGGGAAUUGCAGUGGAUACUGGGUCACUAGAGUGUGGUAGAGGAUAGUGGAAUUUCCGGUGUAGCAGUGAAAUGCGUAGAGAUCGGAAGGAACAUCUGUGGCGAAGGCGACUAUCUGGGCCAACACUGACACUGAGGCACGAAAGCGUGGGGAGCAAACAGGAUUAGAUACCCGAGUAGUCCCUGUCUCUUAUAA